UAUCUAUUCUAAAUGUCCCUUGAUUUCUUUUUGUCCCAUUAUUUUUCUCAUUUUAAUGCUCUUAUCAACAUGGAAAAGUGGAUUGGUUUGCUUUGUGCAAAUUAUUUUUUUAUUGAAAUAAAAUGG